rnacentral:misc_RNA from 1 species
UUUCCGUAGGUGAACCUGCGGAAGGAUCAUUAAAAAAAGAGAAACGUCCCGUUCUUUUUCAUAAGAAUGGGUUCCAUUCCCUUAAACCGUGUCUACAUACCUUUGUUGCUUUGGCAGGCCGCCUUCGGGCGUCGGCUCCGGCUGAUAGUGCCUGCCAGAGGACCCAAACUCUAUGUUUAGUGAUGUCUGAGUACUAUAUAACAUUUAAAACUUUCAACAACGGAUCUCUUGGUUCUG